CAGAAGCAAGUAUCCAGCAACCUUAACCGAGACCACAUUGGGGAACCUUCUGGCUUACUCACCCCCUGGCCCUACCGCUACCACCAAGAGAAAAAGAAGUGAAGAGAAUGAGCUGGUUCAUCCUCUAGUGCAUUGCAGCGGCGUGGGGGAAACCAGGGAGAUGGGGGGCAAGGCUGUGCAAUGGCUCAGAGAUAGCCCAACAAAUGCUCUGUAAUGAGACUUGGAGUUUCAACCUCACUGUCUGGAGCAGAAGAGAAAUGGGAAAUAUGACAUAUGGAGGUGCCACUGAAACAAAACACCCCAAAAUCUUGAGUCAACACAGUGGGGCUAGCACUCUGGAGUCCCCACUGGAACUGCAGUGGGUUUGUCUGAAUGACAAAUACACUUGUCUGCAGAGUCAUGGGAAGAAUUUAAGCAGGAAAAUGAUGGGGCCUGGACCACUGAUUAGAGAGAUCAUUCAUUCCUUGACCAACAUAAAGGAACUAAGUGGAAGAGACCCGAUUGGAACCCAGGUCAGUCCGAUAACAAAGUCUUCAUUUUAAAACUCCCCUGCCUUCUAAGAGAAGUUUUUUCCUUGGCCAGGGAAAGUGUAUUUCAGUGUGGAAGCUCCCAGUUCGGC
rnacentral:lncRNA from 1 species